rfam:Ornithorhynchus anatinus chromosome 2, whole genome shotgun sequence.
CCCCUUUCAGGGUCACACCUGGAGAUUUUCCAGUACUCUACCAGUUUUGACUACAGGAGGGAGAGUGAAGCAGAGGCCUAUCUAUUCCAUUCCUAGCAUGGACAGUGGCUAGCAAAUGGAAGGCAAUCUGCUACAAGU